rnacentral:rRNA from 1 species
UUNUACANCNNCUCAGNGCUACANANGGANNCCNNNUUNCNUUNUUCCGCACUCAAGUCUCCCANUUUCCAAUGACCCUCCACGGUUGAGCNCGUGGGCUUUCACAUCAGACUUAAGAAACCACNUGCGCGCGCUUUACGCCCAAUAAUUCCGGAUAACGCUUGCCACCUACGUAUUACCGCGGCUGCUGGCACGUAGUUAGCCGUGGCUUUCUGGUUAGGUACCGUCAAGGUGCCAGCUUAUUCAACUAGCACUUGUUCUUCCCUAACAACAGAGUUUUACGACCCGAAAGCCUUCAUCACUCACGCGGCGUUGCUCCGUCAGACUUUCGUCCAUUGCGGAAGAUUCCCUACUGCUGCCUCCCGUAGGAGUCUGGGCCGUGUCUCAGUCCCAGUGUGGCCGAUCACCCUCUCAGGUCGGCUACGCAUCGUUGCCUUGGUGAGCCGUUACCUCACCAACUAGCUAAUGCGACGCGGGUCCAUCCAUAAGUGACAGCCGAAGCCGCCUUUCAAUUUCGAACCAUGCGGUUCAAAAUGUUAUCCGGUAUUAGCCCCGGUUUCCCGGAGUUAUCCCAGUCUUAUGGGCAGGUUACCCACGUGUUACUCACCCGUCCGCCGCUAACUUCAUAAGAGCAAGCUCUUAAUCCAUUCGCUCGACUNGCNNNAUG